UCCGGUUUAACACCGGCAGUCUCGUUAGAGUGCCCGCCAUUACGCGCUGGCAACUAACGAUAGGGGUUUCGCUCGUUAUGGGACUUAACCCGACACUUCACAGCACGAGCUGACGACAGCCAUGCAGCACCUGUGAUGGUUCCGGAUUGGAUACCGGUCAUAGACGUUUCCGCUUCUUACUUCCACUGUUGUCUAGCCCAGGUAAGGUUCUUCGCGUUGCGUCGAAUUAAACCACAUGCUCCACCGCUUGUGCGGGCCCCCGUCAAUUCCUUUGAGUUUCAACCUUGCGGUCGUACUCCCCAGGCGGGGUACUUCCUGCGUUAGCGCCGGCACCCAGAGGGUCGCUCCCCCAGGCACCUAGUACCCAUCGUUUACGGCGUGGACUAC
rnacentral:misc_RNA from 1 species